UAGAAUCUUGGUGAGAAAAUGUGUGUGAAAGUGUGUGUGCAUUAUCUUUUUGCUUGCGAUUUCUUGCAGUAGUAGCCAAUUGUGAAGAUGCCAUUCCGGCUUGCUAAACAAACACAUGGAGCUCUGACUAAAAUAAGAAAAUGACACAGAAAAUUAAACAUCACUGGGAACCAGUUGCACUUGAAGCUCAAAGCAAUUAUGAAAGACAAAGUUAUAGCCCCUUGCACAGAUAUCAGACGAUUGACUCUUUGGCCAUGGCUACACUCUUGUUUGCUUACGAUUCUUGGAGUAGAAGGAUCCUAGUCAUCAAAUUGAUAUGUUAUAGAAGGAUAUUUUCUAGGUACCGUAUUGCAAAGACUGUCUGUAUCAUAUACAUUGAAGUCCAAAACAGUAUCAAAAUGGAGAUUGGGCCCUAUGAUGACCUUUUGACAGACAAAAGAUGCAUUGGAUGGACAACAUAAAAGAAUGGACAGGCUUGUCGUGAAGGUACUCUAAUCCUAGCAAAAGACCAGGAGGGAUGGAGAGCUGGUUAUUGGAUAUGUAUGACUAAUGGUCCCACAAAGAAACAGGUGACAGUGAAGGCUAUAAAGAAAUUUUUAUAGAAAUGAUUACCCAAGCAGAUGGAGUGAAACUAAUCAGCACUGUAUGAAGUGGGUGCUUGAAGGUGAAUACCCAAGCAUUCAAGAUAAAAAUGAAGGAUUGUGUUCUCCUAAUAUGAAGAUCAUUGUUUCAACCAUUGAAGUAGAAAUAAAAUAUUUUCAAUAAUUGACAAACCUGGAGUAUCAGCACCUGAGAUGAACUCCAAUUGAGAACAGAGCAGGUAGGGCUAAUCCUCCCAUAAUGCUCUGGCAAGAACCAAGCACCAAGAAUUUCAGAAGUUGUUUUUUUUCCAAAGUUUUUUUCCUGGCUCUUUUUCCCAAUUUAUUAAUUUUAAAUGAAGAGCUUAAAAGCAAAUUAUAUUUUUAGGUCCAUGGAUCAAGUUCAACUGUUUUCCUAUGGUUGUGAUGGCAUGAGACUAACAGUCAUCUGUAAUAAAAACACAAGUAAUUUGAUGCUUCAGAUGUAAUGAUUAAUAAUUUGUGUUGUUGUUGCACCCCUCCCCACAAAAAAAAAAAAAAAAAGUUAUUGUAAUUUUAAAGCUUUAAGUUUGAAAAUGAAUUGAUAAUUUUUGGCCCUUAAUAUUUUUUACAAAUGUUCCCUUUUUUUUUUUUAGAAAAAAAAAACAAAAUUCAUUAGUUAUCAAGAACAAAAUAGUUGCUCUAUAAGCUGUAUAAAUAUAGUAUUGUCUUUAAAACAAAUAUAUUUUUUAUGUUUAUGUUUUUCUUCUAUAUUUCUUUUAUAUUUUUUCUUUUAUAAAACUGAAUAUAAAUAUUGUAUAUAAUAUGUGAUUGAAUAAAAAUUGAAUCUGAUUAAA